rnacentral:snRNA from 1 species
AUCGCUUCUUGGCCUUUUGGCUAAGAUCAAGUGUUAUAUUUUCCAAAUUUUCUACAGUAAAUAUCUCUUUGAUAAUGCAGAAGAAAAGGCUUUAUUUAUUUAUUUACGCUUAGAAUUCAAAGGAGAUGCAUAAGAACUUUCUUCCUUUGGAAAGGCUCU